rnacentral:tRNA from 1 species
GCGCUCGUAGCUCAACUGGAUAGAGCAACGGCCUUCUAAGCCGUAGGUUACAGGUUCGAUUCCUGUCGGGCGUACCA